ensembl:antisense Gm42877 predicted gene 42877
GCACUGUGAGGGCAUCUUACAGCCACCUUCAUUUAGGAUGCUGUUUUUGAGGACCAUGACCCUUCUGUGAACUCCUGCCCUAAACACUGCCGCUGACAUCGAUUAUCACUGAAGGAGUCCUGGAGAUAAUCAACUAUCAACUCAAUUGUCUAGAUGCCAUCAGAGGCUCAAAGAGCUCAACUGACUUAUCCAAAGUCACACACAAAGUUCAAAGCCACCUGUCAUUUUGGAAAAGGGAGAUGUCAUAAAAUGAGACUAAGAUGAUGUCGAGACUGAAAGAGAACAGAAGGCAUGAUGGCAGAGUCUCUCUGGAUCUGUGUUCCCUUAUUCCAAUGCCAGAAGAGAGGAGAAAAGAGAAUUUUUAGGAUGCUCCACAUGGACUUACUAUUCAAACAUUAUGAAUUAGUUAAGAACAC